rnacentral:rRNA from 1 species
GAUAAACGCUGACAGAAUGCUUAACACAUGCAAGUCGAUGAUGGGAAGCUAAGCCUAGCUUAGAAGAAGUCAUGGCGGACGGGUGAGUAACGUGUAGAGAACUUGCCCUCUAGACUGGGAUAACAGAUAGAAAUGUCUGAUAAUACCGGAUAUUAUGUUACAUGGCAUCAUGUAGGAAUGAAAGGAUAAGAUUGCUAGAGGAGAGCUUUGCACCCUAUUAGCUAGUUGGUAAGGUAGUGGCUUACCAAGGCGAUGAUAGGUAGCCGGCCUGAGAGGGUGGACGGCCACAAGGGGACUGAGAUACGGCCCUU